rnacentral:rRNA from 13 species
AUGGAGAGUUUGAUCCUGGCUCAGGACGAACGCUGGCGGCGUGCUUAACACAUGCAAGUCGAGCGGUAAGGCCCUUUCGGGGGUACACGAGCGGCGAACGGGUGAGUAACACGUGGGUGACCUGCCCUCCACUCUGGGAUAAGCCCGGGAAACUGGGUCUAAUACCGGAUAGGACCACUGAUCGCAUGGUUGGUGGUGGAAAGUUUUUUCGGUGGGGGAUGGGCCCGCGGCCUAUCAGCUUGUUGGUGGGGUGAUGGCCUACCAAGGCGGUGACGGGUAGCCGGCCUGAGAGGGCGACCGGCCACACUGGGACUGAGACACGGCCCAGACUCCUACGGGAGGCAGCAGUGGGGAAUAUUGGACAAUGGGCGCAAGCCUGAUCCAGCCAUGCCGCGUGAGUGAUGAAGGCCCUAGGGUUGUAAAGCUCUUUCAGCGAGGAGGAUAAUGACGUUACUCGCAGAAGAAGCCCCGGCUAACUUCGUGCCAGCAGCCGCGGUAAUACGAAAGGUGCAAGCGUUAAUCGGAAUUACUGGGCGUAAAGC